GGGUGACUCCCACGAUCCCUAGCGGCUGCAGAGUGGAACAUGGCGGCCUCCUUGCCGCUUGCGUUACCAGAGUCCACCCGGCCUCGUGCUUUCUCCGGGCGCCCGUAGCUGGCGCCGGCAUCCACAAAAAUAGAUCAGACAGAGGAUGAAUAAAGAGGAAGCUCCAGGCUGUGAAGCGUCUAGUCCUUGCUCCCCUCAGAAGCUGGGACAUGUUGGACCAAGGUGGUAAGGAUAGUGAGAGGCCAAAGAUUUAACAAUAUACUGUGAUGCUGGGGCUGGGAGGAGAUUGCACCUUUAUAGCCUGGUGGUGGCAGUCCAGAGUGCAACCCCUAGAGAUGGUAACUUGACAAGACCUCUCAAAAACACUACACACAGCUUUUGAGCCCCUCAUCCCACUUCUGAGAGUAAGUCCUAUGGCAACAUGUGCACACGUGGAAAAUGAAGUCUGUACAAGCAUCCCUGUGAAAAAGACGACUGUAACAUGAGCAGCAGAGUAAUGACACAAGACAAGUCAGAAACCAGCAGCAGAGCACUCAUCAGAGAUGCCAGUGCUGAAGAGUCUGGCAGGAACUGCAGUAUCUAGGGAGGGUUUCCUGUGACCUCACUGGACAUCUAAGGAGUUGCGACAGUCCUACUCCAGACCUGUGAAUGCUCUUCCCUGACUCCAAGCAAUAACUCGACUACAAAAGGACCCCGCGUACCAGAGAUGAGCGGCAGUCCACCUUCUUCUGGAGAUGGGGAGUAUAAACUUCCUCCUGCCCUGACUCUCCCAGCACCCCGUGGAUUUUCUCCCCAGCUAAAAAUAACUGUGGUCCCUCGAGGUGCACACUAUGUCUAGAAGUCACACACAGUGCAAGAAGCAAUAUUCCUUCCCAAAAUCCCCCAUCAUCUUUCACAUAUAAUGUGUGUAUAUAUUGCUCCUCCAUUGUUCAGUGCAGGCAAAUCCCCCUCCACCAUCUGCCACCCCCAUGGGCUCCUCUGUGGUUCACUAAUUGUGACCUACACACAUUGCUGCUCUCCAGGCUGUGGGUCAGCACUAUGGGAUGUGGUAAGAGGAAGCUAUAAGGCAAGCUUUCACCCUCAUUCUAGUGCCAAGUGUCUCACACCAACAGGGAACCUGGGGCGUAAAGCUGGCCCCUUGUAGGCUGGUUCCUGAGUUGUCAUAAUUUUCCUGGGAAAGUAAAAACCAACCUAGGCUGAAAUAGAGAAAUGAAAGAAAGAAUUUGUGCAGCAUUCAUCCCACUUAUUUUAUCCAAUGCUGCCCCACAAAACAACCCAUGCUCAUUUUUGCACAGCUAAUACUUUGUAACAGAGAUGACUGAAGAGAACAGGAAUACUAAGGAGGUUGCAGUGGUGGCCCUUCAAGAAUUAACUCAGUAAACCCAGCCAACUGCUAGCAACUCUGUGGCCAGUGGUUCCACUCUGAGUUACUCUAAAUGGGCUAGGUGCUUUCCACACAUGAACGAAUGCAAUUCUUUCUCCACAGCACUAUCCCCAUUUCACAGAUGAAGAAACUGAGGCAGACAGGGAGAAGUGAAAAUAGUAAAUAGUAAAAUUUACUAUUAUAAAAAUAGUAAAUUUAUAAUUUAGUAAAAUAGUAAAACUACGUUAUAAAUUAUAAACCCAAAUACCAUGCUCUUUCUAUUAUUCCAGUUUCCCAGAAGCUGGACAAGCCACGACGGCGCCUUCCAAUAAAAGGGGAACUCCAGAGACGCUAUGAGAAAAGAGGAACAGACAUCUGCAAUAGAUAUCUGCAACUUCCUUUUCAAAAACACCAUCGGCAUUGCUUUCUCAGGAAGCCACUGCCAGCCUAUUGUGAUAGCUGACACUGAGUUCCUGAGAAUUCUCUAAUUAGGAUCCCAGAUUGGAGGGUCAGCCAGUGGUUAACAUAUAAUGGACACAAAACUGAUUUUACUGGAAGACUGAGGGUGGGCACUCACCAUGGUUCUAAGCAUUCAUUACUCAGAAGAUCCAUAAAAACAUUACAGUUCUGUUGUGUAAGAGUUUAGGAAAAAAAGAAAAUCCUGACAAAAAUCCCAACCUAAAAAACAGUGUCAACAUUUGUAAGUAGGAUGGGGAGGCAGAGAUGAAUUGGCAGUGUUAUCACAGCUACUGGACUAUGUGGACUUUAACAAAGUAAGAAACGGGUGGGGGUUGGGUGGUGGUAUCUUAAUAGAGCAGGAGUAGAGACGGAUGUCCUGGGGCAGAAUGGGUACCAAUGCUGCCUGAAGCCUGGAGCUGGGAGCUGAGGACUAAGAGGUAGACAGGAGGGUGGGGACCGGUACCUGCUCCAAGGAACUGGUGCCCCAGAACUGGUGAGCUGGGGUAUGCAUUUAGCUCAUUCGUUUACCAGAAUGCAGUCACCACCUGAUGAAAGAAAUGACUAAUGGCAGGACUUGAACAGUUCUCUAUAAAUGAGUACCUGGGAGAAAAACAGGUCUCCAGGCUCCACAAUACCCAAUAAACACACUGCCUUUAGCCCACUUCAAGCUGCACUUCUUACAUGGAACCCAACCCAACCAACCUCAGAGGUAAGGGUGAGAGCAGGCAAUGAACAGCUAUGAUUCUCCAUUCCCUGGCCAGGCAGGGAGCCUUUCCAUCCACCCUCGUGAGACUGCUUGUAACAGAAAUAAGGAAACCGACUCCAAGGCUCAGUAACCCACCCAAGGUCAGAACCACGGAGUGGCAGGGCCUGUGAGCCACAAAGGAGACUGAAAACCAGAAAGAGCUUCUCUCUGGUCUGUUAUUUUAAGAAAAACAUGCCCAGAGGGGCCACCUGGAAGCAAGGCUGUGUGGCACCCUCACCUUCCUAAUUAAACAACAACUUCCCAGGAGCAACGACAGCAACAACAGCCUGGCCCAGCAGAUGAACUCGAAUCAAUCCAAGCCCUUCCCCUAUACGGGUCAGUUUGGGCACUACUUUACCUGCUGUGAAGUCUACUGGGAUCUUCCAGGAAAGUCCCACCUCAUUAGUAAAAAGAAAAACAAAGACUCGGGAAGAAAGUUCCUGCCCUCCCUGUUGAAUGCUGUGUGAGGAUAAGAUGUCUGGAGCAUGGCAGUCACCCUGUGACUAUCAGAAGGCCAGGCGUACCACAAGGUGGUCAUUCCAGUGCUCUGAAUCAGCCCCAAACCACUUCCCUCAAGACUCAUGUUCUGAGGUGAUUAAAAGUGUGCUUUGAAGGUAAAUCUAGGAUGACAGUCAACAGAUCAGUGAUUGCCAGGAGUCAGGGGUAGAGGGAGGGAAGAACAGAUGGAGCACAGAGAAUUUUUAGGGCAGUGAAAAUGUUCUGUAUGAUACUAUAUAUAAUGGAUACAUGCCAUUAUACACUUGUCCAAAUGCACAGAAUGUACACCACCAAGAGUGAACCCUAAUGUAAACUAUGGACUUUGGGUGAUCAUGAUGUGUCAAUGCAGGUUCGUCAAUUGCAACACACGUACCAUUCUAGUGGGGGGUGUUGAUAACAGGAGGCUAUGCAUGUGUGGGACCAGGGGAUAUAUGGGAAAUCUCUGUACAUGCCUCUCAAUUUUGCUGAGAAUCUGAAACUGCUCUUAAUGAAGUCUUACAAAAAUAAAGAAGUCUGCUUUGCCUU
rnacentral:lncRNA from 1 species